GAUGAAGAACGUAGCGAAAUGCGAUACGUAAUGUGAAUUGCAGAAUUCAGUGAAUCAUCGAAUCUUUGAACGCACAUUGCGCCCGCCAGCACUCUGGCGGGCAUGCCUGUUCGAGCGUCAUUUCAACCAUCAAGCCCCAGGCUUGCGUUGGAGCCCUGCGGCUUCCGCAGCCUCCUAAAAGCAGUGGCGGGCUCGCUAUCACACCGAGUGCAGUAGAUUACUCUUCGCUCAGGGCGUGCAGCGGGUUCCGGCCGUGAAACCCCCUACUUUUAAAGGUUGACCUCGGAUCAGGUAGGAAUACCCGCUGAACUUAAGCAUAUCAAUAAGCGGAGGA
rnacentral:misc_RNA from 1 species